AUUGAACGCUGGCGGCAUGCCUUACACAUGCAAGUCGAACGGUAACAGGUCUUCGGAUGCUGACGAGUGGCGAACGGGUGAGUAAUACAUCGGAACGUGCCUAGUAGUGGGGGAUAACUACUCGAAAGAGUGGCUAAUACCGCAUGAGAUCUACGGAUGAAAGCAGGGGAUCGCAAGACCUUGUGCUACUAGAGCGGCCAAUGGCAGAUUAGGUAGUUGGUGGGGUAAAAGCUUACCAAGCCGACGAUCUGUAGCUGGUCUGAGAGGACGAUCAGCCACACUGGGACUGAGACACGGCCCAGACUCCUACGGGAGGCAGCAGUGGGGAAUUUUGGACAAUGGGCGCAAGCCUGAUCCAGCAAUGCCGCGUGCAGGAUGAAGGCCUUCGGGUUGUAAACUGCUUUUGUACGGAACGAAAAGCCCCGGGUUAAUACCCUGGGGUCAUGACGGUACCGUAAGAAUAAGCACCGGCUAACUACGUGCCAGCCGCCGCCGUAA
rnacentral:rRNA from 1 species